GCAUGCGCUAGCAUGCUUAACACAUGCAAGUCGAACGAUGAAGGCCGUGCUUGCACGGCUGGAUUAGUGGCGAACGGGUGAGUAACACGUGAGUAACCUGCCCUUCACUCUGGGAUAACCUCGGGAAAUCGGGGCUAAUACCGGAUAUGAGUGUCCACUGCAUGGUGGAUGCUGGAAAGUUUUUCGGUGAAGGAUGGACUCGCGGCCUAUCAGUUUGUUGGUGAGGUAAUGGCUCACCAAGACGAUGACGGGUAGCCGGCCUGAGAGGGCGACCGGCCACACUGGGACUGAGACACGGCCCAGACUCCUACGGGAGGCAGCAGUGGGGAAUAUUGCACAAUGGGCGAAA
rnacentral:rRNA from 1 species